CAAUAGCGUAUAUUAAAGUUGUUGCAGUUAAAAAGCUCGUAGUUGGAUUUCGGGGUGGCCUGGCUGGUCCGCCGCAAGGUGAGUACUGGUCAGCCGCCCUUCCUCUCGAAAGCCCCGACUGCUCUUUACUGCAGUGGUCGGGUAGUUCGGGACGUUUACUUUGAAAAAAUUAGAGUGUUCAAGGCAGGCUAUCGCCCGAAUACAUUAGCAUGGAAUAAUGGAAGAGGACCUCGGUCCUAUUUUGUUGGUUUCUAGGGCCGAAGUAAUGAUUAAGAGGGACAGUUGGGGGCAUUCGUAUUUAAUUGUCAGAGGUGAAAUUCUUGGAUUUAUGAAAGACGAACUAGUGCGAAAGCAUUUGCCAAGGAUGUUUUCAUUAA
rnacentral:rRNA from 1 species